rnacentral:rRNA from 1 species
CCUACGGGGGGCAGCAGUGGGGAAUAUUGCACAAUGGGGGAAACCCUGAUGCAGCGACGCCGCGUGAGUGAAGAAGUAUUUCGGUAUGUAAAGCUCUAUCAGCAGGGAAGAAAGUGACGGUACCUGACUAAGAAGCCCCCGCUAACUACGUGCCAGCAGCCGCGGUAAUACGUAGGGGGCCAGCGUUAUCCGGAUUUAAUGGGUGGAAAGGGAGCGUAGACGGCACUGCAAGUCUGGAGUGAAAGGCCGGGGCUGAACCCCCGGACUGCUUUGGAAACUGUCGGGCUGGAGUGCAGGAGAGGCAAGCGGAAUUCCUAGUGUAGCGGUGAAAUGCGUAGAUAUUAGGAGGAACACCAGUGGCGAAGGCGGCUUGCUGGACUGUAACUGACGUUGAGGCUCGAAAGCGUGGGGAGCAAACAGGAUUAGAUACCCUGGUAGUC